CGGGGUGUGGCCCAGCUGGCUAGGGCGCUUGGUUCGGGACCAAGAGGUCGGCGGUUCGAAUCCGCCCACCCCGA
rnacentral:tRNA from 1 species